rnacentral:rRNA from 1 species
UACGUAGGGGGCAAGCGUUGUCCGGAUUUAUUGGGCGUAAAGAGCGUGUAGGCGGCCUGACAGGUCUGCUGUGAAAACUCGAGGCUCAACCUCGAGAUGUCGGCGGAAACCGUCUGGCUAGAGUCCGGAAGAGGAGAGUGGAAUUCCUGGUGUAGUGGUGAAAUGCGUAGAUAUCGGGAGGAACACCAGUGGCGAAGGCGACUACCUGGCCUGUUCUUGACGCUGAGGCGCGAAAGCUAGGGGAGCAAACGGG